CGUGGCGACCCGCUGAAUUUAAGCAUAUUAGUCAGCGGAGGAAAAGAAACUAACGAGGAUUCCCUCAGUAACGGCGAGUGAAGAGGGAAGAGCCCAGCGCCGAAUCC
rnacentral:rRNA from 1 species